rnacentral:rRNA from 1 species
GCCCUUAGAGUUUGAUCAUGGCUCAGAACGAACGCUGGCGGCAGGCUUAACACAUGCAAGUCGAACGAAGUCUUCGGACUUAGUGGCGGACGGGUGAGUAACGCGUGGGAACGUGCCCCUUGGUACGGAAUAGUCCCGGGAAACUGGGUUUAAUACCGUAUAUUCUCUACGGAGGAAAGGUUUAUCGCCAAGAGAUCGGCCCGCGUUGGAUUAGGUAGUUGGUGGGGUAAUGGCCUACCAAGCCCGCGAUCCAUAGCUGGUUUGAGAGGAUGAUCAGCCACACUGGGACUGAGACACGGCCCAGACUCCUACGGGAGGCAGCAGUGGGGAAUCUUAGACAAUGGGGGAAACCCUGAUCUAGCCAUGCCGCGUGAGCGAUGAAGGCCUUAGGGUUGUAAAGCUCUUUCGCUGGGGAAGAUAAUGACGGUACCCAGUAAAGAAGCCCCGGCUAACUCCGUGCCAGCAGCCGCGGUAAUACGGAGGGGGCUAGCGUUGUUCGGAAUUACUGGGCGUAAAGCGCGCGUAGGCGGAUUGGAAAGUUUGGGGGUGAAAUCCCGGGGCUC